rnacentral:rRNA from 1 species
UGAGUAACGCGUGGGUAACCUGCCCUUAAGUCUGGGAUACCAUUUGGAAACAGAUGCUAAUACCGGAUAAAAGCUACUUUCGCAUGAAAGAAGUUUAAAAGGCGGCGUAAGCUGUCGCUAAAGGAUGGACCUGCGAUGCAUUAGCUAGUUGGUAAGGUAACGGCUUACCAAGGCGAUGAUGCAUAGCCGAGUUGAGAGACUGAUCGGCCACAUUGGGACUGAGACACGGCCCAAACUCCUACGGGAGGCAGCAGAC